CGAAAAGCUACGAUGGCUACAUUACAGCAGAGCCGCCAAAGCAGGCUGCACAGGAGAGGACAGGGAAGUAAAGCCGUUAUCGUUUUCUCUGUCACACGCCGCUGAACCUGGAGAAGUGAUUUUUAGAUUAUCCGCUAUUUUGGAUUGCCACACCACUGUUACCCUCAAAAUGCAAAACGGACCACAGACUCACUAAUUGCAUUUCUGUCACAUUUAUACCGAUAAAACUGUUGUGGGCGUUAAGUGAGAGCUCAUGCCCUGAUGUGGACUCGUAGAUGCCAGCGUGUUCUUCAUCCACAAGUGCCCUGGUAACUUGUAAUUCUCACGCUUGGCAAAACUGAGUUGAGCUCGGCAAACCGGCCUUGGAUUGAAACCAUCGGCCUUCGCGACAGCCCCAGAAACGGGAGCCACUCGGGCUCCCGCCCCGUGGGGCCCACCAGCACACCCCAGGCUGGGUGCCUUCUGGAAACACGCCACGGGGGACGCCACAUCCCAGGAGUGUGGUCCUCCCCGAAGGUCCCCCCCCCCGGCCCAGGGCUCACCAGCUCCUUCUGGCUCUGAAUCACAGCCAGCACAGCAUCGUGAGUAUGGCAGUGCUGCCUGCCCGUGUUCCAGUCUCUCGGCUCCUCA